UAUAUAUUGAUUCUUUUUUUAUGUUCUUUUAUUUUUUCUAUUAAUUUAUAAAGUAAAUAAUUUUUAGUUUUUGAUAUAUUUAUUUUAAAUCACAUUUUUAAUUUUUCAUUUUUUUUUUUUAAGUACAUAUUUCUGCUUUAAAUUCAUAUAUUUUUCUUUUUUUUUUCUCUGCAUAAAUAUAUAUUUAUAUCUAUCUAUCUAUCUAUCUAUAUAUAUAUGUAUGUUUGUAUUUUUUUUUUUUUUUAUAGUAAAAAUAUUCAUACUAUUAAAUCUUUUUAUAAAUAUAGUCAUAACACAUUAGUUUAAUUUAUGUAUAGUGAUACGCAAUUACUUGUACAUACAAAGUUUUAUGUACGCGCUUUCUUAUUAAAUCAUUUAUAUGUAUAAAUAAUAAUAUAAUUGUAUGUUAUUAUAUGUGUACGUAAUUAUAUGCAUAUAUGUUAGUGUAUAUAUAUAUAUAUAUAUAUGUCAUUAGGGUAGUACAUUAUUUUAAUUAGAUACAUAAAUAUAUACAUGUACAGAUAGAUAUAUAACUACAUAUUGCACAUCUUUUGUAAAAAACAAAAAAUUUGUAACAAAAAUGUUAUACAAAACACAACUUUGUUCAUUCUAUGCAAAAGGAAUAUGUGCAAGAGGCAACAGAUGCAGUUGGGCUCAUGGGGAGUUGGAUGUUAGGCCUAUGCCUAAAUUUUACAAGACUAGGAUGUGUUAUACGUUUUUAUCUGGUAGUUACUGUGAAGCUUCUAAAUGUACGUUCGCACACACAGAAGAAGAAUUAAGAGGUUCAGGAAAAGCUUUGAGAUUAUGUACAAAGUAUUUUUUAGAUGGCUACUGCAAUAAAGCUGACAAAUGUCCUAUGGCUCAUAACAUAAAUCAACUAGACCCAUCAGUAAAAUUUUCAUCAAGUGAAUUAAUGAAUAAGGUUUAUUCUAAUGAGGAUAAUGUAUAUUAUAAUAAUAAUAAUAACCUUGACUUGCCAAAGAAUGAUAAUAAGGAAACUGAAGGAAAUGGUCGUAAAAACAGUAGUAGAAGCAGUAGUACACAUAACAAUAAUUACAACAUCCAUGGAGGAACUAAUAAUAAUAUAAGUCAUAAUAUCCAUAACUAUCACAAUAAUAAUAGUAGUAAUAAUGCAGUUUUUGAAAUUACGAACGAGUUAGAUGACGUUAAUGUAAAAAAGCAUUUAAAAGAUUACCAUAUUAUGAACAAUUUUAAUAAUAGUGAAAAUGACAAAAACGAUAUUGAUGAUCCAAAAAAGAAUAGUUAUAAGAUUUAUAGAAAUUGUGAGAAAAAAAUGUAUAAAGAUUAUUUAUUGGAUGACAACCAGACAAAUGAUUACUUUGAUGAAAUAAAAAAAGGAAAUGGUAAUUCGUUUGUUACUCUUUUUGUGCAUCUGCUGUGCAUAUAAUGAUCAAUUUGUACGUAUUUUUACGUAUUUUUACGUAUUUGUACGUAUUUUUACGUAU
rnacentral:lncRNA from 1 species